GAAUUUUUGUAAAUAUUGAUGUAAUGAAAACCGUAUCUAUGAACAAUGAUACUUCUUUUGCCUCUUCUCUCCUAUUAAGUAAUACAACGUAAUUUCAUCACAAGAUAGCUUCGAGACAUCAUUGCUUUUGGGGCAGUUACUGUUCAUCCUGUACUUCGAUCAGCUGGACCUUUCCAAAAAUGGUUGCUACUCAUAAAUUAAUACUUUGCAUCAGCUUCAUAGUUCUUGUGACGGUUUCACAAAGU